rnacentral:tRNA from 3 species
GCCCGCGUAGUCUAGCCUGGAUAGGACGCAAGGUUGCGGACCUUGAAACCGGGGUUCAAAUCCUCGCGUGGGCA